rnacentral:rRNA from 1 species
AUGGAUCAAAGGGAUCAAAGUAUCUUGCGACAUUUCUUGUUUGCUGCAGGGAGGAAGUUUCUAUUACCAAACGCCAGCAGCUCCAUAUGCAGGAAGUAUGACGAGAAGUGUAAACAACUGAGAGACCAGGAGUCGCGAGGGAAAAAGGAAAUCAUCAUCGAUUUUACCCGUGCUGCAGUAAAAGACUUGCGCUCCAGAAUCCUAGUGGCCAUUCAGAAAAUAGAUUUCAUUUUGGCGAGCAUAGAAGAUCGAAGGGAUAAAGAGCUUCAAGCACAUCCGGAUGAGCUAAUUGAAAGUUUCUCCGUGAUGUGGGAAACCAUGCUCCAGUGCCGUCGGCGCCAACACGCGAUCAUCAAGUCACUAUCAGCGGCUGCAAACUAG